rnacentral:rRNA from 1 species
AGCAGCCGCGGUAAUUCCAGCUCCAAUAGCGUAUAUUAAAGUUGUUGCAGUUAAAAAGCUCGUAGUUGAAUUUCGGGAUUAGUACGCUGGUCGUGCCUUCGGUACGUACUGGUGUUACUGAUUCCUACCUUCUGACGAACCGUCAUGUCAUUCAUUUGGUGUGGCGGGGAAUCAGGACUGUUACUUUGAAAAAAUUAGAGUGUUUAAAGCAGGCUAACGCCUGAAUACAUUAGCAUGGAAUAAUGAAAUAGGACGACGAUCCUAUUUUGUUGGUUCCUAGGAUUGACGUAAUGAUUAAUAGGGAUAGUUGGGGGCAUUAGUAUUCAAUUGUCAGAGGUGAAAUUCUUGGAUUUAUUGAAGACUAACUACUGCGAAAGCAUUUGCCAAGGAUGUUUUCAUUAAUCAAGAACGAAAGUUAGGGGAUCGAAGACGAUCAGAUACCGUCGUAGU